rnacentral:rRNA from 1 species
GAUGAACGCUGGCGGCGUGCCUAAUACAUGCAAGUCGAGCGAACAGACGAGGAGCUUGCUCCUCUGACGUUAGCGGCGGACGGGUGAGUAACACGUGGAUAACCUACCUAUAAGUCUGGGAUAACUUCGGGAAACCGGAGCUAAUACCGGAUAAUAUAUUGAACCGCAUGGUUCAAUAGUGAAAGACGGUUUUGCUGUCACUUAUAGAUGGAUCCGCGCCGCAUUAGCUAGUUGGUAAGGUAACGGCUUACCAAGGCAACGAUCCGUAGCCGACCUGAGAGGGUGAUCGGCCACACUGGAACUGAGACACGGUCCAGACUCCUACGGGAGGCAGCAGUAGGGAAUCUUCCGCAAUGGGCGAAAGCCUGACGGAGCAACGCCGCGUGAGUGAUGAAGGUCUUCGGAUCGUAAAACUCUGUUAUUAGGGAAGAACAAAUUUGUAAGUAAAUAUGCACGUCUUGACGGUACCUAAUCAGAAAGCCACGGCUAACUACGUG